UACAGAGGUCCCAAGCGUUGUUCGGAUUCACUGGGCGUAAAGGGUGCGUAGGUGGUCGGGUCAGUCUGAGGUGAAAUCUCCGAGCUUAACUCGGAAACUGCCUUGGAUACUAUUCGGCUGGAGGGUUGGAGGGGGGACUGGAAUUCUCGGUGUAGCAGUGAAAUGCGUAGAUAUCAUAAGGAAGACCAGUGGCGAAGGCGGGUCUCUGGACAGUUCCUGACACUGAGACACGAAGGCCAGGGGAGCAAACGGG
rnacentral:rRNA from 1 species